rnacentral:misc_RNA from 1 species
AUGCAGACCAGUUAACGUUGUAGCCCAACUCUUAAGUACUUGGCUUGAGCAAUAGAGGCAAAGUACCAUAUAAGGUUUGAAAUUAUUUCCAACUUCCUCAUCCUUCAAAUUUCAAUAAAUUGAUAAAAGAUUCCUACAGGGCAGUUGCUGAAUACUAAGGCCUCCCAUUAAAAUAGUAAGUUUUGUCACAUAUCCCUUGUUUUAAUAAUUUUGAACCACAAAAAUGUACAAUAAAGCAUCUGAAUAGCAGCGAAUUCUGUCAGGAACUGAGUUCAAAACUAAAGCCAUAGGUAGCCA